rnacentral:rRNA from 1 species
GACCUCGGAUCAGGUAGGAAUACCCGCUGAACUUAAGCAUAUCAAAAGGCCGGAGGAA